rnacentral:rRNA from 1 species
CGCUAUCACUCCUACGGGAGGCAGCAGUGGGGAAUCUUGCGCAAUGGGCGAAAGCCUGACGCAGCCAUGCCGCGUGAAUGAUGAAGGUCUUAGGAUUGUAAAAUUCUUUCACCGGGGACGAUAAUGACGGUACCCCGGAGAAGAAGCCCCGGCUAACUUCGUGCCAGCAGCCGCGGUAAUACGAAGGGGGCUAGCGUUGCUCGGAAUUACUGGCGUAAAGGGAGCGUAGGCGGACAUUUAAGUCAGGGGUGAAAGUCCCGGGGCUCAACCUCGGAAUUGCCUUUGAUACUGGAUGUCUUGAGUGUGAGAGAGGUAUGUGGAACUCCGAGUGUAGAGGUAGAAAUUCGUAGAUAUUCGGAAGAACACCAGUGGCGAAGGCGACAUACUGGCUCAUUACUGACGCUGAGGCUACGAAAGCGUGGGGAGCAAACAGGAUUAGAUACCCUGGUAG